rnacentral:rRNA from 1 species
AGUGAACGCUGGCGGUAGGCCUAACACAUGCAAGUCGAACGGCAGCACAGUAAGAGCUUGCUCUUACGGGUGGCGAGUGGCGGACGAGUGAGGAAUACAUCGGAAUCUACUUUUUCGUGGGGGAUAACGUAGGGAAACUUACGCUAAUACCGCAUACGACCUACGGGUGAAAGCAGGGGAUCUUCGGACCUUGCGCGAUUGAAUGAGCCGAUGUCGGAUUAGCUAGUUGGCGGGGUAAAGGCCCACCAAGGCGACGAUCCGUAGCUGGUCUGAGAGGAUGAUCAGCCACACUGGAACUGAGACACGGUCCAGACUCCUACGGGAGGCAGCAGUGGGGAAUAUUGGACAAUGGGCACAAGCCUGAUCCAGCCAUACCGCGUGGGUGAAGAAGGCCUUCGGGUUGUAAAGCCCUUUUGUUGGGAAAGAAAAGCAGCAGGUUAAUACCCCGCUGUUCUGACGGUACCCAAAGAAUAAGCACUGGCUAACUUCGUG